CUUUGUGGUACCUGUGUGAGUUGGAAGUCUCAAUUAUAGUCUAUAGUUGCUUUAUCAACCACAGAGGCUGAAUAUGUUGCUACCACAGAGGCCAUAAAGGAAGCCUUGUGGCUUAAGGGACUGUUAUCUGAAAUAAGAAUGUUAAAUAAACUUGUCGUUGUAUAUUCUGAUAGCCAAAGUGUAAUACACCUGUGUACGAAUCCUAUUUUUCAUGAAAGAACUAAACAUAUAGAUGUGAAGUUACAUUUUAUUAGGGAUAUCAUCUCAAAUGAAUCUGUUCUUCUUGAAAAAGUUCUUACACAAUAUAAUCCAUUACACAUGGGGACAAAGGUAUAGCUUGUGUCAAUUGGAGAGCUGCAAGUGUCCAGAAAUCCCAUUGGCAUCAAGGUGGAGGUUGUUGGGUUGUGAUGCCUAAUGACCUUUCUGGGCUGUGAUAACAAAAUGGGCUAAAGCCCAAAUUCUAUUUUAUUAAACUAAGGCUCUUGCCCAAUAACGUGACUUGAUCCACCCGGCCAAAAAGGUCGAAAACGUGUUUUUUAGGCGAGGCAUUUUAAAUGCAAUCCAAAAAUACGUCCUCUUUAUUAUUCUUGGGAGCCCUCCACCGUUGGAUGAAAUCUUGAUCAAUUGUUAUUUGUCUGUGGGUAUAAAUUUGCCUCUUGGUUGCCCUAAUUUGGGUGGAAUCGUCACUUUCUUCUUCUUGAGCAGUCUGUGAGACUUUGAGACUCUUCCAAAUCCUUCUUCUUCUUCGUGAACUUCCAAUCUCUGAUUGGAAUUGAUUUCUGAGUGAUUCUUCUCU
rnacentral:lncRNA from 1 species